rnacentral:rRNA from 1 species
CACGUAGGGGGCGAGCGUUGUUCGGAUUCAUUGGGCGUAAAGGGUGCGUAGGUGGCGGGGCAAGUCAGGUGUGAAAUCUCGGGGCUCAACCCCGAAACUGCACUUGAUACUGCCUUGCUCGAGUACUGGAGAGGAGACUGGAAUUUACGGUGUAGCAGUGAAAUGCGUAGAUAUCGUAAGGAAGACCAGUGGCGAAGGCGAGUCUCUGGACAGUUACUGACACUGAGGCACGAAGGCCAGGGGAGCAAACGGG